ACAUGAUGGUUGGUGAUGCAGCAGCCAUCUUGUGACCAAGAAGAAAGGCCAAAAGAAUUGCAGGAGAAUUGGCCCUAAAAUCAAUGAAACUCUCACCCACCCCUUUAACCUCUUGUCUCCAGACUUCUGGGAGGUGUUUUUCAGCUCAUACUCAGUCUGGAAGUUUACUUGCUGCUGGCAAGAGCAGAGUAUAAACACUAAAUCACAGGCCGAGGAUGGAUAAACACUUCAUCAUCGCUAAAUCACAGGCUGAGAAUGGAGGGCCCAGCGGGAGACAUGGCUGCAAUGCAGGGAGGAAAACCUCACACUGCAUGUGAUGGCUACUUUUUUUUUUUUUUUGAGAUGGAGUCUUGCUUGGUUGCCCAGGCUGGAGUGCAAUGGUGCUAUCUCCAUGCACUGCAAGCUCCACCUUCGAGGUUCACACCAUUCUCCUGCCUCGGCCUCCCGAGUACCUGGGACUACAGGCGCCCACCACCACGCCCGGUUAAUUUUUUGUACUUUUAGUGGAGACGGGGUUUCACCAUGUUGGCGAGGAUGGUCUAGAUCUCCUGACCUCGUGAUCCACUCGCCUCGGCCUCCCAAAGUGCUGGGAUUACAGGCGUAAGCCACUGCGCCUGGCCGUCAUGGUUAAUUUCAUGUGUCAACCUGGUGCCCAGAUAUUUGGUCAGACAUUAUUCUGGGUGUUUCUGUGAGGGUACUUUGGGAUGAGAUUAACAUUGAAAUCUGUAGACUGAGUAAAGCAGAUUGCCUUCCCUAGUGUCGAUGGGCCUCAUUCAAUCAGCUGAAGGCCUGAAUAGAACAAAUACUCUGACCCUCCCCUGAGUCUUUCUGAAGGAAGUCAGACCCUCCUGCCUGAUUUCCUUCAAACUAGGAUAGUUGCUUUUUCCUGCCUGCAAGACUUGAACAGAAACAUUGGCUCUUCCUGGGUCUCCAGCUUGCCGACUAUCCCUGCAGACCUUGGGACUUAACCAGCUUCUGUAAUUGCAUGAGCCAAUUCCUUAUAAUAAAUCUCUUAUAAUAGAA